rnacentral:rRNA from 1 species
CCCUCCGCAAAAAACAAUAUAGGAGUUGCGCCCAGUGACUAGUUAAACGGCCGCGGUAUUUUGACCGUGCGAAGGUAGCGCAAUCACUUGUCUUUUAAAUGAAGACCUGUAUGAAUGGUGGAACGAGGGCUUAACUGUCUCCCUUUUCAAGUCAAUGAAAUUGAUCUGCCCGUGCAGAAGCGGACAUAUUAAUACAAGACGAGAAGACCCUUUGGAGCUUAAGAUUUAAGAUCAACUAUGUUAAGAAUAACGUAAACCAAUUAAACUAAAUAGUAACUGAUCCCUAUCUUCGGUUGGGGCGACCACGGGAGAAAACAAAGCUCCCACGUGGACUGGGGUUACCCCCUAAAACUAAGAGAGACAUCUCUAAGUCACAGAACAUCUGACCAAACAGAUCCGGCUAUUAGCCGAUCAACGGACCAAGUUACCCUAGGGAUAACAGCGCAAUCCUCUUUCCAGAGUCCAUAUCGGACAAGAGGGUUUACGACCUCGAUGUUGGAAUCAAGGAAUCUAAUUGGUGCAGUCCGCUAUUAAGGGUUCGUUUGUUCAAGGAUUAAAGUCCU